rnacentral:rRNA from 1 species
AGAGUUUGAUCCUGGCUCAGGACGAACGCUGGCGGCACGCUUAACACAUGCAAGUCGAACGAGAGAAGAGGAGCUUGCUUUUCUGAUCUAGUGGCGGACGGGUGAGUAACACGUGAGCAAUCUGCCUUUCAGAGGGGGAUACCGAUUGGAAACGAUCGUUAAUACCGCAUAACAUAAUUGAACCGCAUGAUUUGAUUAUCAAAGAUUUAUCGCUGAAAGAUGAGCUCGCGUCUGAUUAGCUAGUUGGUAAGGUAACGGCUUACCAAGGCGACGAUCAGUAGCCGGACUGAGAGGUUGAUCGGCCACAUUGGGACUGAGACACGGCCCAGACUCCUACGGGAGGCAGCAGUGGGGAAUAUUGCACAAUGGAGGAAACUCUGAUGCAGCGAUGCCGCGUGAGGGAAGAAGGUUUUAGGAUUGUAAACCUCUGUCUUCAGGGACGAAAAAAGACGGUACCUGAGGAGGAAGCUCCGGCUAACUACGUGCCAGCAGCCGCGGUAAUACGUAGGGAGCGAGCGUUGUCCGGAAUUACUGGGUGUAAAGGGAGCGUAGGCGGGAUCGCAAGUCAGAUGUGAAAACUAUGGGCUUAACCCAUAAACUGCAUUUGAAACUGUGGUUCUUGAGUGAAGUAGAGGUAAGCGGAAUUCCUAGUGUAGCGGUGAAAUGCGUAGAUAUUAGGAGGAACAUCAGUUGCGAAGGCGGCUUACUGGGCUUUAACUGACGCUGAGGCUCGAAAGCGUGGGGAGCAAACAGGAUUAGAUACCCUGGUAGUCCACGCCGUAAACGAUGAUUACUAGGUGUGGGGGGACUGACCCCUUCCGUGCCGCAGCAAACGCAAUAAGUAAUCCACCUGGGGAGUACGACCGCAAGGUUGAAACUCAAAGGAAUUGACGGGGGCCCGCACAAGCAGUGGAGUAUGUGGAUUAAUUCGAAGCAACGCGAAGAACCUUACCAGGUCUUGACAUCGUAUGCAUAGCUCAGAGAUGAGUGAAAUCUCUUCGGAGACAUAUAGACAGGUGGUGCAUGGUUGUCGUCAGCUCGUGUCGUGAGAUGUUGGGUUAAGUCCCGCAACGAGCGCAACCCUUACUGUUAGUUGCUACGCAAGAGCACUCUAGCAGGACUGCCGUUGACAAAACGGAGGAAGGUGGGGAUGACGUCAAAUCAUCAUGCCCCUUAUGACCUGGGCCUCACACGUACUACAAUGGCUGUCAACAGAGGGAAGCAAAGCCGCGAGGUGGAGCGAACCCCUAAAAGCAGUCUUAGUUCGGAUUGUAGGCUGCAACCCGCCUACAUGAAGUCGGAAUUGCUAGUAAUCGCAGAUCAGCAUGCUGCGGUGAAUACGUUCCCGGGCCUUGUACACACCGCCCGUCACGCCAUGGGAGUCGGUAACACCCGAAGCCUGUAGUCUAACCGCAAGGAGGACGCAGUCGAAGGUGGGAUUGAUGACUGGGGUGAAGUCG